CCUGCGGAAGGAUCAUUACUGAUUUGCUUAAUUGCACCACAUGUGUUUUUAAUUGAACAAAUUUCUUUGGUGGCGGGAGCAAUCCUACCGCCAGUAAGUUAUAACUAAACCAAACUUUUUAUUUACAGUCAAACUUGAUUUAUUAUUACAAUAGUCAAAACUUUCAACAACGGAUCUCUUGGUUCUCGCAUCGAUGAAGAACGCAGCGAAAUGCGAUACGUAAUAUGAAUUGCAGAUAUUCGUGAAUCAUCGAAUCUUUGAACGCACAUUGCGCCCUUUGGUAUUCCAAAGGGCAUGCCUGUUUGAGCGUCAUUUCUCCCUCAAACCCCCGGGUUUGGUGUUGAGCAAUACGCUAGGUUUGUUUGAAAGAAUUUACGUGGAAACUUAUUUUAAGCGACUUAAGGUUAUCCAAAAACGCUUAUUUUGGUAGUGGCCACCACAAUUUAUUUCAUAACUUUGACCUCCAAUCAGGGAGGACUACCCGCUGAACUUAAGCAUUUAA
rnacentral:rRNA from 1 species